UACGAAAGGGGCUAGCGUUGUUCGGAAUUACUGGGCGUAAAGCGCACGUAGGCGGCCAUGUAAGUUGGGGGUGAAAUCCCAGGGCUCAACCCUGGAACUGCCUUCAAAACUACAUAGCUAGAGGAUGUGAGAGGAUAGUGGAAUUCCGAGUGUAGAGGUGAAAUUCGUAGAUAUUCGGAAGAACACCAGUGGCGAAGGCGACUGUCUGGCACAUUUCUGACGCUGAGGUGCGAAAGCGUGGGGAGCAAACAGG
rnacentral:rRNA from 1 species